rnacentral:rRNA from 1 species
CCUAGUAACUGCGAGUGAAGCGGGAAAAGCUCAAAUUUAAAAUCUGGCGGCUUUGGUCGUCCGAGUUGUAUUCUAGAGAAGUGUUUUCCGCGUUGGACCGUGUAUAAGUCUCUUGGAACAGAGCGUCAUAGAGGGUGAGAAUCCCGUCUUUGACACGGACUACCAAUGCUUUGUGAUACACUCUCAAAGAGUCGAGUUGUUUGGGAAUGCAGCUCAAAAUGGGUGGUAAAUUCCAUCUAAAGCUAAAUAUUGGCGAGAGACCGAUAGCGAACAAGUACCGUGAGGGAAAGAUGAAAAGCACUUUGGAAAGAGAGUUAAACAGUACGUGAAAUUGCUGAAAGGGAAACGAUUGAAGUCAGUCGCGUUAGCUAGAACUCAACCAGGCUUGCUUGGCGUAUUUUCUAGUUAACGGGCCAGCAUCAGUUUUGACCGCAGGAAAAAGGCCAGAGAAAUGUGGCACCUUCGGGUGUGUUAUAGUCUUUGGUCAUAUACUGCGAUUGGGACUGAGGUUCGCAGCACGCGCAAGCUGUGCUUAGGAUGCUGGCGUAAUGGCUUUAAACGACCCGUCUUGAAACACGGACCAAGGAGUCUAACAAACCUGCGAGUAUUUGGGUGGUAAACCCGAGUGCGUAAUGAAAGUAAAAGUUGGGAUCCCUGUCGUGGGGAGCACCGACGCCCGGACCAGACCUUCUGUGACGGAUCUGCGGUAGAGCAUGUUUGUUGGGACCCGAAAGAUGGUGAACUAUGCCUGAAUAGGGUGAAGCCAGAGGAAACUCUGGUGGAGGCUCGUAGCGAUUCUGACGUGCAAAUCGAUCGUCAAAUUUGGGUAUAGGGGCGAAAGACUAAUCGAACCAUCUAGUAGCUGGUUCCUGCCGAAGUUUCCCUCAGGAUAGCAGAAACUCGUAUCAGAUUUAUGUGGUAAAGCGAAUGAUUAGAGGCCUUGGGGUUGAAACAACCUUAACCUAUUCUCAAACUUUAAAUAUGUAAGAACGAGCCGUCACUUAAUUGGACCGCUCGGCGAUUGAGAGUUUCUAGUGGGCCAUUUUUGGUAAGC